AGGGGGAUACCUGUUGGCUACGCCAUCCCCGCGCCCCGGCCGAAACCGAGACGCCAAGGAUGACCGCGCAACCGAUGGUGGUGUUUUGUAUUCAACGUCUCCUAAUCGCUGGUCGGCAUCGUUUAUGGUUAAGACUACGACGGUAUCUGAUCGUCUUCGAUCCCCUAACUUUCGUUCUUGAUUAAUGAAAACAUCCUUGGCAGAUGCUUUCGCAGAAGUUAAUCUUUCAUAAAUCCAAGAAUUUCACCUCUGACAAUUAAAUAUUAAUGCCCCCAACUAUCCCUAUUAAUCAUUACCCUAGUCCUCGCGCUGCCAAAACCAACUGAAAAUAGGAGGACAGGGUCCUAUUCCAUUAUCCCAUGCUAAUGUAUUCGGUGGCAGAAAAUUGGAUCUGCCUGCUUUGAACACUCUAAUUUUUUCACGGUAAACGAUCUGGGCCAGAACUGGGC
rnacentral:rRNA from 1 species